UCAGGAUGAACGCUAGCGGCAGGCUUAACACAUGCAAGUCGAGGGGCAUCGGGAGUAGCAAUACUUGCCGGCGACCGGCGCAAGGGUGCGUAACGCGUGAGCAACAUGCCCGUAUCAGGGGGAUAAUCCAUGGAAACGUGGUCUAAUACCCCAUAGUAAUUAUGUAAGGCAUCUUAUAUAAUUUAAAGCUUUGGUGGAUACGGAUUGGCUCGCGUGACAUUAGCUGGAUGGUAAGGUAACGGCUUACCAUGGCUACGAUGUCUAGGGGUUCUGAGAGGAAGGUCCCCCACACUGGAACUGAGACACGGUCCAGACUCCUACGGGAGGCAGCAGUGAGGAAUAUUGGACAAUGGAUGGAAAUCUGAUCCAGCCAUGCCGCGUGCAGGAAGACGGCCCUAUGGGUUGUAAACUGCUUUUGUAUGGGAGCAAUAAGGGCUACGUGUAGUCCGAUGAGAGUACCAUACGAAUAAGCACCGGCUAACUCCGUGCCAGCCGCGGC
rnacentral:rRNA from 1 species